AUUGAACGCUGGCGGCAGGCCUAACACAUGCAAGUCGAGCGGAUGAAGGGAGCUUGCUCCUGGAUUCAGCGGCGGACGGGUGAGUAAUGCCUAGGAAUCUGCCUGGUAGUGGGGGAUAACGUCCGGAAACGGGCGCUAAUACCGCAUACGUCCUGAGGGAGAAAGUGGGGGAUCUUCGGACCUCACGCUAUCAGAUGAGCCUAGGGCGGAUUAGCUAGUUGGUGGGGUAAAGGCCUACCAAGGCGACGAUCCGUAACUGGACUGAGAGGAUGAUCAGUCAAACUGGAACUGAGACACGGUCCAGACUCCUACGGGAGGCAGCAGUGGGGAAUAUUGGACAAUGGGCGAAAGCCUGAUCCAGCCAUGCCGCGUGUGUGAAGAAGGUCUUCGGAUUGUAAAGCACUUUAAGUUGGGAGGAAGGGCAGUAAGUUAAUACCUUGCUGUUUUGACGUUACCAACAGAAUAAGCACCGGCUAACUUCGUG
rnacentral:rRNA from 1 species